rnacentral:rRNA from 1 species
GCUUCAGGCCUAACCACAUGCAAGUCGAGCGGACAGAUGGGAGCUUGCUCCCUGAUGUUAGCGGCGGACGGGUGAGUAACACGUGGGUAACCUGCCUGUAAGACUGGGAUAACUCCGGGAAACCGGGGCUAAUACCGGAUGCUUGAUUGAACCGCAUGGUUCAAUUAUAAAAGGUGGCUUUUAGCUACCACUUACAGAUGGACCCGCGGCGCAUUAGCUAGUUGGUGAGGUAACGGCUCACCAAGGCAACGAUGCGUAGCCGACCUGAGAGGGUGAUCGGCCACACUGGGACUGAGACACGGCCCAGACUCCUACGGGAGGCAGCAGUAGGGAAUCUUCCGCAAUGGACGAAAGUCUGACGGAGCAACGCCGCGUGAGUGAUGAAGGUUUUCGGAUCGUAAAACUCUGUUGUUAGGGAAGAACAAGUACCGUUCGAAUAGGGCGGUACCUUGACGGUACCUAACCAGAAAGCCACGGCUAACUACGUGCCAGCAGCCGCGGUAAUACGUAGGUGGCAAGCGUUGUCCGGAAUUAUUGGGCGUAAAGCGCGCGCAGGCGGUUUCUUAAGUCUGAUGUGAAAGCCCCCGGCUCAACCGGGGAGGGUCAUUGGAAACUGGGGAACUUGAGUGCAGAAGAGGAGAGUGGAAUUCCACGUGUAGCGGUGAAAUGCGUAGAGAUGUGGAGGAACACCAGUGGCGAAGGCGACUCUCUGGUCUGUAACUGACGCUGAGGCGCGAAAGCGUGGGGAGCGAACAGGAUUAGAUACCCUGGUAGUCCACGCCGUAAACGAUGAGUGCUAAGUGUUAGAGGGUUUCCGCCCUUUAGUGCUGCAGCAAACGCAUUAAGCACUCCGCCUGGGAGACGGACG